rnacentral:rRNA from 1 species
AGCAGCAGCCACGGUAAUACGAAGGGUGCAAGCGUUACUCGGAAUUACUGGGCGUAAAGCGUGCGUAGGUGGUGGUUUAAGUCUGCUGUGAAAGCCCUGGGCUCAACCUGGGAAUUGCAGUGGAUACUGGAUCACUAGAGUGUGGUAGAGGGAUGCGGAAUUUCUGGUGUAGCAGUGAAAUGCGUAGAGAUCAGAAGGAACGUCCGCGGCGAAGGCGGCAUCCUGGGCCAACACUGACACUGAGGCACGAAAGCGUGGGGAGCAAACAGGAUUAGAGACCCCCGUAGUCCCUGUCUCUUAUAC